rnacentral:rRNA from 1 species
UAUGACCUCGGAUCAGUAGUCU